AGCUUUGCGCAGUGGCAGUAUCGUAGCCAAUGAGGUUUAUCCGAGGCGCGAUUAUUGCUAAUUGAAAGAUGGUAGGCUUACAUUUUCAUGGUUGGAUGGCACACACAUCUUUCCUUUGGGCUUCUGUCCACAUAUCAAUUUU